UAUUUUGGCUACAGUUUUCAUGGCCUCCAUAUGAACCUCUUCUACUUGCUUCUCUGGCGGCUGGAAGUUUGUCUCAAGGUAAAGUGCUGAUUGCAGCACUCAGGAAACACCGCUCCAGGCCUCCUCUGGACCAAGCACCAUACACAGGCCUGGAACUCACACUCUUCGGCACCACACGUUUAGAACGGGAAAUGACUGGCCAGGGGUCUAACUGAAACCAAACAUCUACAGAUUGCCACUGAAUCAUGCCUUCUGACCCUACCAGCAGUUCCAAGGAAUUUUGUGGAAGGAAGGCCUGUUUUUUUGAGUGUCAUUCUCAAAAGAUCAGCAAUGUGUUUUAGAUUCUAAUGAUAAAUUCCUUCUAAUUUGCCAGACACAUUUUAUAUAACCCAUUGGAACUGAUUUCUGUAAUGCCCAGCUUUUCAGUUUUUGUCAAUGCAAAAAAAUCCUUCAGUUUAUAUAAUAAACAUCACUGUUGUGGAACAUUA